rnacentral:rRNA from 1 species
CAGUAGCCGCGGGAAUACGGAGGGGGCUAGCGUUAUUCGGAAUUACUGGGCGUAAAGCGCACGUAGGCGGCUUCGCAAGUCAGAGGUGAAAGCCUGGGGCUCAACUCCAGAAUUGCCUUUGAGACUGCGUCGCUCGAAUCCGGGAGAGGUGAGUGGAAUUCCGAGUGUAGAGGUGAAAUUCGUAGAUAUUCGGAAGAACACCAGCGGCGAAGGCGGCUCACUGGACCGGCAUUGACGCUGAGGUGCGAAAGCGUGGGGAGCAAACAGGAUUAGAUACCCCGGUAGUCCCUGUCUCUUAUAC